GUGAGUAUAUCCAUCUCCGGGGGCGGGUAAUGGGGGUUGUCUGCACAGAGUUUUGUGAUGUGAACCAUCUAUAGGUCUCUGUUGUGGACAGAGACCAUGCCUGUUCCGGUGGAGGUGGCAGGGGGCAGGGAGGUGCAAUGGACUUUGUGAAAGUUCUUAGCUUUGGUGAUUUAAUGCUCUAUUUUUGUGCUGGUUGGUCUCCUGCCAGGAGGUGGCACUUUCCAGAAAGCAUCAACUGUAGUAAUAAGGGGAGGAACUGCAGUGGGCGGGGCCCUAGAACUCCCAAGAUUAUAUGCCCUUUGUCUUCCGCUAGCAGGUCAGGUAGGGAAGGACCAUCAGGUAGGGAUGGGGCUUGGCAUGUCUGAGCUGAGACUCUCCUUGGGCAGGUCUUGCUGGGGCUGCUGUGGGGGGUGGAGGUGAGAUUCACAGGUCACUGGAGUUGUGUACCUAGGAGUAUUAUGGCUGCCUCUGCUGAGACAUGCAGGUUGUCAGGGAAGUGGGGGAAAGCCGGCAGUCACAGGCCUCACCCAGCUCCCACACAAACCGAAGGGUCGGUCUCACUCCCACUGUGUCCCCCUGCAACAGCCCCCAGACAGUUUCCAGGCGGAAAGCAUAAGGGCUUGAAAACCUGCCCCAGGCUACCCACCUCCCAGCUGCCAAAGAAAGGGCUAGGUUCUUCCCCAGCCUGUGAAGUCUGCACACCAGAUUUGCACCCUCCCCCGAGUUCUGGCCAGGAGGCUUCUCACCCCGUUCAAAUUGUUACGGGGUUCAGCUGAGAUUUCCUUCUCCCUGUGGAGUUUUACCACCUGCUCCUCCCCUGUUGGAUCCCUAUGGUGCCAGGCAGGCAUGGGCUGCUCGGGGACCAGAGAGCUCCCAGGGCCUUCCUGCUGCUUCGUCUACCCCUGUAUUUUGCUUGGCUCUACAAAUUGACUCAGCUCCAGUGGCAAAAGUGGAGACCAGUGCAUUGCUAUUCUACAUGUAAUGGUUCUGAGCUUAUUUCUUCUGGGGCAAUUGGAGCAGAUGGACCAUUUAAGCCCUUGAAGCUUAUGAUGUAUUCGUGGAGCACCUGAACUGUCAUUUCAAAGAAUACAUCACCAUUUUAUUGAGGACAAUAAUACGAAAUGUGAUAGAUUGCCUGGUUAAAUCUCAAACCACUUCAUCUGGUUACUUUGGGAUUUUCCUUUUUUCCAGGAAAAAAGAUUAUGGAGAAGGGCACUGAUAAAGGAGGACGUCUAACACAUCCUCAUGGAUAUAUUGAGAUAAUGCUUACUUCCACAAGAACACGUAUGUAACUCCAAAUCCAAUGUGAUUGAGACAAUGGGUGAUAUUAUAAGGAUAGUCUUUUUUUUAAAAAAAAAUACUUUCCAUGAACCUUAGUACCAUGUUAUUCAUAAUAAAUCAUCUUUGUCAUAUCACUGCUGAUCAUGACACAUUAGAUUCUGGCUGCAUCCCCAUGGGGAAUGCUGCUGCUAUAAACCAUGCAAGAACCUAGGAAUACAACAAUUAUAACCUAAGAGGUGAAAAGAUGAACAAUAGUGUGUGAAAAACAUCAAGAUGAGAGAGACAGACUAAAAUAUUUAGCCAUCAAUGAUCUGAUGUGGCAUCACAUGAAGAUGUGCUUCUAAGUGCAAAUGAAUAGCCCAUGAACUGGACUCAUGAAAAUUACCUAUGCCAAGAAAAAAAUCAUCAUUUACUAAUAAAUGUAUCACAACUGUCAUUCCAAUGAAUAUUCAUCACACACACACGCACACAUUUAGAAGCUGCUGAACUCAAAUAACUGGACUUGGCUAUUUUUCCCUAUUUCGUUCAGACACUAUACAGUUCAUCACCAGGGCAGUGCAAGAAAUGAUUACCACCUUCAUUAUGCAACCUCUGUAUUCAUUGGCAAAGGAAAAAAGUUAAUAGUAUUCAUGUGAUUGUCAACGAUGUAUACUUCGUUGUUAGAGAAAGAUAAGAGUUUAAAACAAUUUUUUAUCUCUAUGUUUAUCUUCUACAUUGUCAUGUAAAACCAAAAAUCUGAGAUUUGAAUACUUCACAAGACUAGCCAUAAGCUUUCUGUUUGCUGGUUUGUAUCUUUUCUUGCUUUCAAUUUUAACGCAGUCAAAACCCUAAGGGAUUAGUUCUCAUCUCUUAAGAAUGACUGUUUAGCAUAUAAUUUAUUACCACCUUCGGUAUGCAUAAACUCCCUAUUUUAUUUAAAGAUACCAGGUGCAAUAUUACCAUGGAUCUAAACUGGAAAUCAGACUCCCAAAUGAGAUAUGUUUUCCUUAGUGGUUGUGUAAAAUUCCCAUUAUGCUAAUAGUACUUCAGAGUGCAUGUUAAGAAAGAAUAUAGCCCUAAGUGUCUAUUUAUGAAAGCUUCUCUUUGAAAAGGAAAGUCUUUUAAAAUGAUACUCAUUUUUAGUACAUGAAAAGUAUUAGACAUUCUCGUGAUUGGUUAAUUGUACCAUGAUUUUCACAAAAUAGUUAAAUCCCAUUUACUUCUGGAAAUCUGGAUUAUAUAAAACUCUCAUUAUUCUGGUGGUGCUACACUAUUGGCUACACAUUGUUUAUAUGUUCAUUCCUUAGGCAUCCUGAAUAAUUUUUGUUAUAUUUCAACAUUUGAGACAUUUGGGAUCCACAGCAGUUUUUUAAAAAGUGUUUUAACUACAUGUCUUGCCCUUUUUCUUGUCUCAAUUUAAGUUUCUUUUUAAAUUGAGAAAUGUAUUUAUUUGAUGAAAUGAGCUAAAAGCAUAUUUUAAUAAUUUUCAAUUACUCCAUAAGGGUAACAUCUGGCUGUUUACAUCAAAAGGCAAAAUAUGGUAUUCAUAAGAGUUUAUAAAUAAUAUAUAUAUAUUAGAUCAGAUGAAUGCUCUAUGAAGUUUUUACUCUGCCACCUACAGUGAAUAUAUAAACUUAAAAGAUUAAUUGAAUAUUCUCUAACCAUGAAUAAGCAAAUUCCCAUUACUUAAUACUACAAUAUAGAUUUCCAAAGUAAUUAACACUUUGCAUUUCUGUUCCGUGAAAUUCUGUCUGUAGCAUAUUAAGUAUACUUUUGUACUGAAAGGAGUUUCUUCAUGACCAAAAAUACUCUUCAGGGGCAAAGUAAGAAUUUUGUACACUAAACCGUCACCAAAUGAUUCUAUAGGGUCUAACACAAUCACUUUGUUUUCUAAGUAUUGCUACCUUAUUUCUGGAAAUGCUUUACCCCUCUGGGAGACACAGUCUAACCAGUUUGAUUAAAGUCAUUUGGAACAAUGUCCUUCUUUAUCCUCUUUCCUUUUACUGUAUUUGUGUGAAAAUCUAUUACGGACACUCCAUUGUGCAGGUAUAGUAAUUAAAACCAGGUGGAAAGUUGGUAUAUAUUUGUAUCUUUUCAGUAAUUGCAAUAGACUCAAAUAUUUCUAAUUGAAACGACUGGAUUCCUCCUCCAAUUAUUGUCUCCACAGAAUUACAUGAAACUCUUACCAUGACACUCUGCCCAGGCCUGUUCCUCAUCAUUAUCUUGUUCCCUCCUACUAAUGGGACACUUUUACCAAAUUUUGGCUGACCUCAUUCAGGUGGAAAGGAGAAGAAUUUAUUAAAUCAAUUUUUAUAUAUAACAGCACAGGAUUUCCUUCCCUUUCACCAACUCUCCCACUCCUCUCUCUCCCCCAUAUAGAAUGUGAACAAGAAAUAUUUGUUGAAUGCAGACUCCCUGCAAACUAUUUUUUUCUUUUUGAUCAAAAUGAAUAAUUCAUUAGACUAAUAAGAAACACACACACACAAUUUAUUACCAUUCAUCAGACGUCUGUUUUAGGGUCUCCUCUGACAUUAUGAAACUUGCUUAGUUUCCCCAUCUGUAAGAUGGAGAUAACAAUAACAUCAACCUCACAUAUUGUUGUAGGCAUUAAAUAAGUUACUACCUUAUUCUAAGUACCUGGCACACAUUACUCACUUUAUACAUGAUAACAAUUAUUAUGAUUAUUAUGGUCAAUUGUUCUUUCGGGGAUAACAUGAUCAAUGACUGUGUAGAUCUCAUGUUACCAGAGAUACAAACCCUGAAAAGGAGUAGAUUCUAUUCUAAAGUUGAACUACUUGUCCUUCUGGGAAGCAUGCAUUCUUCAUUAGGUCCUUGACAGAUACAAGCACAGGUAUCUAAGAAUAAUUAUACUCUCCCAGCAGAAGAUGGGAAAAUGGAAAACCACAGAGACCAAGAGUAACAAGGGCAGAAGCACAAUUAGGCAACAUGUUGCUGCUUGGGCUCUGACCUCCCAGCACCUAUUUCUCAAUCAGAUUUUUGUUUUGUUUGUUUUGUGGAUUUUAAAACUGCGAUAGGAAACACAUAACAAAAUUUACCAUCUUGACCAUUUUUAAGUGCACACUUUGAUAGUGUUAACUAUAUUCCCAUUGUUGUGCAACAAAUCUCCAGAAAUUUUUCAUCUUGCACAUUGAAACUCUGUACCCAUUUAACAAAACCUUUCCAUUUCACACCUCUCCCCAUCCCCUGGUAACCACCAUGCUACCUUCUGUUUCUAUAAAUUUGACUACUUUAGACACCUCAUAUAAGUGAAAUCAUACAAUAUUUGUCUUUUCAUGACUGGCUUAAUUCACUAUAAUGUCCUUAAGGUUCAUCCGUACUGUAGCAUGUGACAAGAUUCCCUUCCGUUUUAAGAAUUAAUAGUAUUUCAUUGUAUAUAUAUAUAUACCACAUUUUCUUUAUCCAUUCACCUGCCAAUAAGCAUUUAGCUUGUUUCCACCUUUGGCUAUUGUGAAUAACACUGCAAUAAACAUAGGAGUGCAAAAAUAUCUUUGAGAUCCUGCUUUUAAUCCUUUUGGAAAUAUACCCAGAAGUGGGACUGCUGAGUCAUAUGGUAGUUCUAUUUUCGCUUUUUUGAGAAACUGUCAUGCUGAUUUUCAUAGCAAUUGCACUAUUUUACAAUCCAAUCAACGUUGUACAAGAGUUCCAGUUUCUCCACAUCCUCCCUAACACUUGUUAUUUUUUUUUUUUUUUGAUAGUAGCCAUUUUGAUGGGUAGGGAGUGAUAUCUCACUGUAGUUUUGAUUUGCAUUUUUCUAAUGACUAGUGAUGUUGAGCUUAUUUUCAUAAGUUUGUUGGCUAUUUAAAUAUCAUCUUUGGAGUAAUGUUUAUUUAAGUCCUUUGCCAAUUUUUUAAUUGGAUUAUUUGUGAAUAUUUUCUUGUCAUUUUUCGGUUACAGGAAGUUUUUAAAAAUAAAUUCUCAAUAUGAACUACUAAUGAGAAAUAUGAUUUGCAAAUAUUUCUCCCAUUCUGUAGGUUGACGUUUUACUGUAUUGACAAUGCUCCUUGGUGCACAGAAGUUUUUAAGUCUGAUAUAGUCCAAGUUGUCUAUUUUUGUUUUGUUGCCUAUACUUUUGAUGUAAUGUCUAAGAAAUCACUGCCAAAUUCAAAUUUAUGAAGUUUUGUCAUCAUGAUUUCUUCUAGGAGUUUUAUAGUUUGGUUUUUAUUUAGGUCCUUAAUUUAUUUUGAGUUAAUUUUUGAAUGUGGUGUAAAAAUCUAACUUUUACAUGAGGAUAUCCAGUUUUCCCAACACUAUUUGUUGAAGAGACUGUCCUUUCCCCAUUGAGUGAACUUGGAACCCUUGUCUGGCUUUUUAUUCUAUUCCAGUGGACUAUAUAUCUAUCUUUAUACCAGUACUACAAUGUUUUGAUUACUAUAGUUUUGUAAUAUGUUUUGAAAACAAGAAGUAUCACACUUCCGAUUUUUUUGAUCUUUCAAUAUUGUUCAGACUAUUCUGGGUCUCUUAAAAUUUCACAUUUUUUUAUAGGUUUUUCUAUUUCUGAAAAAGAAAUAUUGCUGGGAUUUUGAUACAGACUGUGGUUGAAUCUGUAGGUCACUUUGGACAAUAUGGUCAUCUUAACAAUAUUAAGUCUUCUAAUCCAUGAACAUAGAAUGCCUUGCCAUUUAUUUGUAUCUGCUUUUAUUUCUUUCAGGAAUAUUUUGUAGUUGUCAGUGUGCAAAUUUUUCACCUCCUUGGUUAUGUUUAUUCCUAAGUAUUUUAUUUUUUGGUGCUGUCACAAAUGGAAUUGUUUUCUUAAUUUUCUCUAUGGAUUGUUUAUUGUUACCAUAAGAAAUGCAACUGAUUUUUGUGUUUUGAUUUUGUAUCUUGCAACCUUGCUAAAUUUGUUUAAUAGUUCUGACAGUUUUUUAUGCAUGUUUUCUAAGGUUUUCUAAGAUUAUGUAAUCUGUGAACAGAGAUAAUUUUAAUGCUUAUUUUCAAAUUUGAAUGUCUUUUAUUUCCUUUUCUUCCUAACUAUUCUGGCUAGUGCUUUCAGUUCUAUAUCUAAUAUACAUGCAGCUUUCUUGUCAUGUCUUUAAUCUUAAAGGAAAACCUUUCAGUCUUUUACCAUUGAGUAUAUUAACUGUGGGUUUUCAUAUAUGGACUUUAUUAUGUUGAGAUAGUUUCCUUCUAUUCCUAGUUUGUGUUUUUAACAUUAUAAAGGUGCUGAAUCUUGUCAAAUACUUUUUCUGUAUCAAUUGAGAUAAUUAAGUAGCUUUUGUUAUUCAUUCUGUAAAUGUGAUGUAUUACAUUGAUCAAUUUUUGUGUGUUGACUCUUCCUUGCAUUUCAGGAAUAAAUCCCGCUUUGUCAUGGUUUAUAAUCCUAUUCAUGUGCUGUAGAAUUUGGUUUACUGGUGUUUUGGUGAGGAUUUUUGCAUCAAUAUUUAUAAGAGAUUUUCAUCAGUAAUUUUAUUUUUUUAUGUCAUUGGUAUCAGGGUAAAGAUGGUGUCAUAGAAUUAUUUGGGAAGUGUUCUCUUCAAUUUUUAAAAAGAUUUUAAAGAAGAUUAUUACUGACUCUUCAUUAAAUGUUGGGGAAAAUUCUUCGAUGAAACCAUCUGGUUCUGGCUUUUCUUUCUUGGGAGGUUUGUUUCAGUGCCAUCAGUAAUGAUGUCUCUCUUUCAUUUUUGAUUUUAUAUGUUUGACUCUUCUCUCUUUUUUUCUUAGUUAAUGUAACUAAGGAUGUCAAUUUUGUUGAUCAUCUCAAAAAUUAACAUUCCAUUUCAUUGUUUAUUUUUGUUUUUCAAUUCUCUAUUUCAUUUAUCUCUAUUGUAAUCUUUACUAUUUCUUUAUGCUAACUUCAGAUUUAGUUUGCUGCUUUUCUAGUUCCUUGAAGUGUGAAGACGGGUUGUUGAUUUUAAAUAUUUCUCUUUUUUAAUAGCAACAUUUACAGCUAUAAAUUUCCCUCUUCACACUGCUUUUACUGCAUUACCUAAGUUUUGCUAUGUUGUGUUUUUAUUUUCCUUUUUCUCAAGGCAUUUUGUAAUUUCUCUUUGAUUUCUUCUUUCACCCAUUGAAUACUUAAGAUGAUGUCAUGUUGCUUAACUUUCAUGUAUUUGUAGAUUUUCCAGUUUUUCUUCUGCCACUGAUUUCUAGUUUCAUUCUAUCAUAAUCAAAAAAAUACUUUGUAUAAUUUCUAUAUUUUUAAAUUUGCUAAAAUGUCCUUGUGGCCCAAUGUGUAGUCUAUGCUGAAGGAUGUUCCCUGUACACAUGAGAAGAAUGCAUAUUCUGCCAUUGUUGAUGGAGUGUGCUCUUUGUGUCUG
rnacentral:lncRNA from 1 species